rnacentral:rRNA from 1 species
CCUACGGGUGGCAGCAGUAGGGAAUAUUGCUCAAUGGGGGAAACCCUGAAGCAGCCACGCCGCGUGGAGGAUGAAGGUUUUCGGAUUGUAAACUCCUUUUGUUAGAGAAGAUAAUGGCGGUAUCUAUAGCAUAAGCACCGGCUAAAUCCGUGCCAGCAGCCACGGUAUUACGGAGGGUGCAAACGUUACUCGGAAUCACUGGGCGUAAAGAGCGCGGAGGCGGGAUAGCAAGUCAGAUGUGAAAUCCUAUGGCUUAACCAGAGAACUGCAUUUGAAACUGGAAUUCUGGAGUAUGGUAGAGGUAGGUAGAAUUGUUGGUGUAGGGGUAAAAUCCGUAGAGAUCAAGAGGAAUACUCAUUGCGAAGGCGACCUGCUAGAACAUGACUGACGCUGAUGCGCGAAAGCGUGGGGAGCAAACAGGAUUAGAUACCCGGGUAGUC